UUCCUACGGGAGGCAGCAGUGGGGGAUAUUGCACAAUGGGGGAAACCCUGAUGCAGCGACGCCGCGUGGGCGAAGAAGUAUUUCGGUAUGUAAAGCCCUAUCAGCAGGGAAGAAGAAAUGACGGUACCUGAGUAAGAAGCACCGGCUAAAUACGUGCCAGCAGCCGCGGUAAUACGUAUGGUGCAAGCGUUAUCCGGAUUUAUUGGGUUUAAAGGGUGCGUAGGCGGAAUAUCAAGUCAGCGGUAAAAAUUCGGGGCUCAACCCCGUCGUGCCGUUGAAACUGAUGUUCUUGAGUGGGCGAGAAG
rnacentral:rRNA from 1 species